rnacentral:lncRNA from 1 species
AUUAUUGCUUGAGGGUGCCAAGAACUGUAGCAGUAAGAGCAGAAGCAGAAAUGAAGAACACGAAGGAUGCUAUGGAGUGAGAGAAAAGUCCAUGCUUGCAAGAAUCCAAAGACACCCUGUGAGGACGCCCCAAAAUACUCGAGGAAGUGUCCAGCAAGACCUCUUAGGGAGUUCCAGGUGGAUGGGAAAAGGGGACCAAAUGAGUUC